GAGUUUGAUCCUGGCUCAGAUUGAACGCUGGCGGCAGGCCUAACACAUGCAAGUCGAGCGGUAGAGAGAAGCUUGCUUCUCUUGAGAGCGGCGGACGGGUGAGUAAUGCCUAGGAAUCUGCCUGGUAGUGGGGGAUAACGCUCGGAAACGGACGCUAAUACCGCAUACGUCCUACGGGAGAAAGCAGGGGACCUUCGGGCCUUGCGCUAUCAGAUGAGCCUAGGUCGGAUUAGCUAGUUGGUGAGGUAAUGGCUCACCAAGGCGACGAUCCGUAACUGGUCUGAGAGGAUGAUCAGUCACACUGGAACUGAGACACGGUCCAGACUCCUACGGGAGGCAGCAGUGGGGAAUAUUGGACAAUGGGCGAAAGCCUGAUCCAGCCAUGCCGCGUGUGUGAAGAAGGUCUUCGGAUUGUAAAGCACUUUAAGUUGGGAGGAAGGGCAGUAAAUUAAUAACUUUGCUGUUUUGACGUUACCGACAGAAUAAGCACCGGCUAACUCUGUGCCAGCCGCCG
rnacentral:rRNA from 1 species